AUACGUAGGGGGCUAGCGUUAUCCGGAUUUACUGGGCGUAAAGGGUGCGUAGGUGGUUUCUUAAGUCAGAGGUGAAAGGCUACGGCUCAACCGUAGUAAGCCUUUGAAACUGGGAAACUUGAGUGCAGGAGAGGAGAGUGGAAUUCCUAGUGUAGCGGUGAAAUGCGUAGAGAUUAGGAAGAACACCAGUGGCGAAGGCGCUUCUCUGGACUGUAACUGACGCUGAGGCUCGAAAGCGUGGGGAGC
rnacentral:rRNA from 1 species